GGGGCAUUAGCUCAAUUGGUAGAGCGCCGCCUUUGCAAGGCGGAGGUCAGGGGUUCGAUUCCCCUAUGCUCCA
rnacentral:tRNA from 2 species